rnacentral:rRNA from 1 species
AUUGAACGCUGGCGGCAGGCCUAACACAUGCAAGUCGAACGAGUGGCGGACGGGUGAGCAAUGACUGGGAAACUGCCUGAUGGAGGGGGAUAACUACUGGAAACGGUAGCUAAUACCGCAUACCAUCGGAUGUGCCCAGAGGGGAUUAGCUAGUAGGUGGGGUAAAGGCUCACCUAGGCGACGAUCACUAGCUGGUCUGAGAGGAUGACCAGUCACACUGGAAAUGAGACACGGUCCAGACUCCUACGGGAGGCAGCAGUGGGGAAUAUUGCACAAUGGGCGAAAGCCUGAUGCAGCCAUGCCGCGUGUAUGAAGAAGGCCUUCGGGUUGUAAAGUACUUUCAGCGGGGAGGCGUUACCAGCAGAAGAAGCACCGGCUAACUUCGUGCCAGCAGCCGCGGUAAUAC